UAACAACUUUUUUGGGGAGUUUUUGUUUUUGAGAAAGGCUACCAAAAUGUAACUUUGGUUGGCUUGGAAAUGGCUUUGUAGACCAAGCUGGCAUCAAAUAUGUAGCAAUUCCCUUGCCUCUGCUUCUAGAGUGUUGGAAUCCUGGGUAUAGAUCACCAUAGCUGUUUAACUUCUGAGGUGUGCACACAUCCUAAAUGUGUGAUUGUAAAUGCUGAAUGAUAUACUAUCAAAUAAACAAGCCAAAGAUGACUCAAUCAUUUCCUCAUUGUGGCAAUUUCAGGUUAUUUUCUAAUUUUAAAUUUCCUCACUCUCUAAUAAUACAUAUCAGCAAAGUAUAACAGAAAUGUAAGUCACACAUAUACUUUUCUAGCAGCUUCAUUAAAAUAAAAAUAAUAGUUAUAAUUUAAGUACAGACAGAUAAGCUACUUUAGUAAAGGGUACCAAUUUUUUGUUUCAGGAAGGGAGGAGUGUGUGGGAAGGGUUGAGCCCUGAGAUGUGGUACCUUAAUGCCUCCAAGGUGCCUAGGAACUGCACACUGUACUCUCCCCAAAGGACCUAACACCUCUCCUAAGUUAAGGAGCACAUGAGCAGUUCUGGGUUAAAUGAGCAGUGAAGUUCUGCCGCCAACUGUAUAUACAGUGGAGAGCAAUCAAGAAGCAAACCCAAUGCCAACCUCUGGUCUCCAAAUGCACACAUGCAAACCUGCAUUCAAGCACAUUGUACAUACGACAAUAUACAUUAAAAAUUUUUAUUUAUUUAUCUACUUAUUUUAUUUUUUUAUGCAUUAAAAAUUUUAAGUUGCUGACAGCUUAGAAAGAACAUCUCUAAACAGUUCAUCAGUGGGCACUCUUUCUCCUCUAUGAACUUGUUGAUGGCUAUUCUUGGUUGUCAACUACAUCUGGAUUAACUAAAAUUUAAAUGGCUGGGCACACCUGUGAGGGAUUUUUUUCUUAAUUAAAUCAUCUAACAUGGAAGAUCCAUUUCUAAUGAAGUUAUCUGAGAUGGGAAGGUCCACCUUUAAUCUGACCACACCUUCUGCUGGUAGCCUAUACAAGGGACACAGAAGAAGAAUGCUUGCCUACUGGCAUUAGAGCUUCAGGAUUUUGCUGUAUGCUGAAAACCAGCUGAGACCCAGCCAGCCAGCCAGCCAGCCAGCCAGCCAGCCAGCCUGUGGACUGAGAAACUAUAAGAUUCUUGGACUUUCUGUUGGUAGACAGCCAUUCUUACACUAGUUGGACCUCAACUUGUAAACCAUUCUAAUAAAUCUAAUAUUAUUUAAAUAGUUAUAUAAUUAUAUUAGAUUAUAUAUUAACAAGUAUACAUUAGUUAUAUAAUAUGUGCAUAUACACAUAUGUUUAAGUCUUAAGAUUUUGUUUUAAAUAAAAAAGCAUGCAUGAAACACAUGAGAAAUGUUUCUGUUUGACUUUGAUUUCUAUUUAUACUUAUCAUUUUCACCAAGUUAGAGGCUGCUUUACUUUCUGACAGUACACUCUCAUCACAUUUACUCAUUCACUUUGUGUGUGCACAUGCUCAGAAGCCUGAGGACACUGUGGGAGUCAGUUCUCUCCUUCCACCAAGUCGGUUGCAGUGUCUUAUCAAGCAUGAUGGCAAAUACCUGCUGAGCCUUAUCGCCAGCCCAGAAAGGACAGAUUCAAGACAGGCUACUUGAGCUUUAAAUGAACUUCACAAUAGAAAGUAAAACAGAAUUAAGAAAAUUAAAAUAUGAAUAAAAUGACAUAGUCAUUGGCUACUGAUUAUUUUUACAAUCUCUCCCUCCACCCUCUUUCCCUUUCCUCUCUCCAAACCACCCCACAUACCCCGCCUUGCACUUUUAAAUCCAUGGCCUCUUUUAUCACUACAUUCCUAAAAAUAAGCUGCUCGUCUGUAUGUUAUUUAAACACAUGUUUUCAGGGCUGACUCUUUGGCAUUGGACAAACCACUGAUGUGCUCUUUCCUGGAAAGGGUUUUUAUUGAUGUGAGAUGCUUCAUGGAUUUGCGUGUCAUCCAUGCACACAGCCAUGCGAGUCUCUGUACCGUUCCAGUUUUAGGAUAUGCACUGAGGAAGUGAGCUCAGGAAAAAUACUUUACUGGAAUUCUCUCUCCCUCAUCUCCUCUCUUCUUUCCUUCCUUCUUUUCCUUUCCUUCUGCAAUAGCUUGGUAUAGUGGCCCAUGUCUGUAAUCCCUCUGUAAUUCUAAAACUCAGAAAGGCUUAAAUGAGUUCUAGGGCUACCUGGGCUACAGUUAAGAUCUUUGUCAUCUUAAAACCAAACACCAUGAAAGAAAUAGACUUGAGCCAGGCAUGGAAGUAUAAUGCCAUAAAUUCCAGCACAGGAAGAGAGAGAGGCAGGAGGAUGGAAGCCAGCCUAGACGUCAUGGCAACACUGUCUCCAAGAGAAUGUUUGUUACAUGGACUGUAAACAACUAACCCUCUGCAAGCAAAGUGUGUUUCAUGCAUAGGAAUUUACAGCAAUCGAUGGGCACACUGACUACCAACUUUUCAGCUCAGAAUCUUCCUGACGACUAUGAACUCUCUUCCUGCUUCUAACUGUCUAUUCCAUGGAGUAACUGGCCAGGCACAGAGGACAAAUCAACCAUCCAGAGAACAGUUAUAUAAGAACAUGGUACUUCUUCAAUAAUGGAGUGACUGUGAACUGUUAAAAGGAUCCUUGGAGGAAAUGAAGUUUCAAGUCAGUGAGCUGCUCGGCAGACAGAUAUAUUACAAAACACCUGGUGAAAAUGUCAUAAUAAAACGGCAUUCUGUGCUCCGAGAAGGCCCAGUAGGCAAAGGUGUCUGCCUCCAAGCUGGACACCUGGAGUGAGAUUCAGUCUCCACAUGGCAGGAGAGCAUGGAAUCCAUCAUGUGUAUUCUAACCUCCCCACAAACACUGUGACAUGCUUCCCCUUGCCCUGCCUAAAAGGAAUGUAAUAAAAUUGAAAAGAAAAUGGCAUUUUAUUGGC